AUGAGCGGUGCUCCAAAAAGAUCGCAUGAGGAGGGUAGCCAUUCUACACCUGCGAAACGGCCUCUGGACGAUAGCAGCUUGUACUCGAGCCCUUCUGGGAAACUCAUUCAACCAGGCGGCAGUGAUUUCCAUGGUCCUUUUGAACAUGAUGGAAGAUUUGCCAAAGUACCACGUGUUGAGUCACGUGAUGAUAAGAGGCCACCUCUGACACAUCGGAUGCCUGUUGGCUCCUCCAACUUUGUGGACCACCCGACCUCAUCUGACAGCAGAUUAGAAUCAAAACAAAACAAAGAUGCACGGGACACCAAGGUUGACGACCGGGAGGCAAAAGCUGAUGCUCGGGAUGUCCAUAGUGAUAGCAGGAUUGAAUUUCCAGGCAAUAAAGCUGAGACUGAUGUGAAGACAAACAACAGAGCAGAUGACACUGAAAUAAGAGUUGACCGGAGGGCGCAUGGUGAUUUCACAGGUGAUGUUGUCAAAUCGGAUAAGGAUAGCCAUCCUACUGGAACUUCAAACAUAGCCUGGAAAGAUAAUAAAGACCAUAGAGGUAAAAGAUAUGUUGAUCAGCCAGAUGAUACUGCAGGAUGGCGUUUUCUUCGUCCUGGUAUGCAAGGCACUGAUCAAACUCUCAAGGUUCAAACUAUUGUGGAAGAGCGCAGCUCCAAGGAUGCACAUGAAUCUACUGGUGAGAAUAAAAUAGAACCUAAAAGUGAAGAUAAGUUUAGAGACAAGGACAGGAGAAAGAAAGAUGAAAAAUAUAGAGAUUUUGGUGCAAGAGACGCUGAUAGAAAUGAUCGCAGAAUUGGUAGUCAGCUUGCAGGUGGUAGUGUUGAACGAAGAGAAAUUCAAAGGGAUGAUCGGGAUGCUGAAAAAUGGGACAGGGAAAGAAAAGAUUCCCAGAAGGACAAGGAAAACAAUGACCGCGAGAAGGAUUCUGCCAAGAAGGAUUCAUUUGUAGCAGUUGACAAGGAGAACACAAUACUGGAAAAAACAGCUUCUGAUGGAGCUGUUAAACCUGCUGAACAUGAGAGUACAGCUGCUGAAAUGAAGACACUUAAAGAUGACACAUGGAAAUCUCAUGAUAGGGAUCUUAAGGACAAGAAAAGAGAGAAGGAUGUGGAUACAGGAGACAGGCAUGACCAAAGGAGUAAAUACAAUGACAAAGAAUCUGAUGAUACUGGUCCUGAAGGAGAUACAGAGAAAGAUAAGGAUACUUUUGGAAGUAUACAGCGCAGGAGGAUGGCACGCCCAAAGGGAGGUAGUCAAGCAUCUCAACGGGAACCUCGGUUCCGGUCCAAAAUGCGUGAUGGUGAAGGGUCUCAAGGUAAAUCUGAGGUAUCUGCAAUUGUAUAUAAAGCUGGUGAAUGCAUGCAAGAGCUUCUGAAAUCGUGGAAAGAGUUUGAAGCUACCCCAGAUGCUAGAAAUGCUGAGAAUCAACAAAAUGGUCCUACUCUUGAAAUUCGGAUACCUGCGGAGUUUGUUACUUCCACGAAUCGGCAAGUAAAAGGUGCUCAGCUUUGGGGAACAGAUGUUUAUACAAAUGAUUCAGACCUUGUGGCUGUGUUAAUGCAUACUGGUUACUGCUCCCCCACAUCAUCACCUCCACCAUCUGCCAUCCAAGAACUGCGUGCAACUGUUCGUGUGCUACCACCACAAGACAGCUAUACUUCAACACUAAGGAACAAUGUCCGUUCACGUGCUUGGGGCGCUGGUAUUGGUUGUAGCUUCCGCAUAGAACGCUGCUGCAUUGUUAAGAAAGGUGGUGGUGCCAUUGAUCUUGAGCCUCGCCUUAGCCAUACGUCAGCCGUGGAGCCUACACUAGCUCCAGUUGCAGUGGAGCGUACAAUGACAACACGAGCAGCAGCUUCUAAUGCAUUACGUCAACAAAGAUUUGUUCGGGAAGUUACAAUACAGUACAAUCUCUGCAACGAGCCAUGGUUAAAGUACAGUAUAAGCAUUGUGGCGGACAAGGGAUUGAAGAAGUCUCUUUAUACUUCUGCGAGGCUGAAAAAGGGCGAAGUCAUAUACUUGGAAACACAUUUCAAUAGUUCUCGCAGGUAUGAGCUGUGCUUCAGUGGGGAAAAGCCUCGCUCCAUUGGAUCAAAUUCCAAUGCAUCUGAUUUGGAACCGGAAAAACACCAGAACAAUAGCCACCACCAUUUGCAAAAUGGAGAUAGGGGCGCCACGGAACAUGAACUCCGGGACGUGUUCCGAUGGUCACGGUGUAAGAAGGCCAUGCCUGAGGUUGCCAUGAGAUCCAUUGGUAUCCCACUGCCAGCUGAACAAGUUGAGGUGCUGCAGGACAAUCUGGAGUGGGAGGAUGUGCAGUGGUCGCAGACCGGCGUCUGGGUUUCUGGGAAGGAGUAUCCGCUCGCCCGCGUGCAUUUCCUCUCGGCGAACUAG
rnacentral:rRNA from 1 species